GGUCCCGUAGCGUAGUUUGUUAUCACACCAGUCUAACAUAGUGGCGGUCUUUGGUUCGAGUUCGCCUGAAAUCA